rnacentral:lncRNA from 1 species
UGAGUCGUCGUCUAAUAAUUUUUGCUACCUUAUUCUUUAGUUUUGUGUACUUAAUUUACAUGAGACUUGGCUUGGAGUUUUCUGUUUCUGAGUUGUCGGAAGGUUCCGAUCAGCCGACAGGAGAGAUAGUGGUCCCCGGUCUGGACCGUUCCACCACUCCUUCUUCCGGUCCCAGCUCUUCCCGGGGAUCACCGACCACCUGUUGGCCCAAGAGCCCGUCAGAGGCCUUCUCUUUUACCCUCUUCGAUCACUUCAAACUACCUGGUGACGACGACCGGUUUAAAGGAUACUCUCCCGAUCAGUUCUUGGUGGCCUAUGUUCGAGCUCAGACCCAGGUAAUUCCCUUUGUCAAUCUGAUUGCUGCUAUUAACUUUGACCUUUCCUUCUUGUACUGAUGUAUGUGUUUACUGCAGGCCAACGCUAUACUCGCCCGAGCCAUCCCUCCCCUCGCCCGAUCCACAAAGAAAG